UACAGAGGUCUCAAGCGUUGUUCGGAAUUACUGGGCGUAAAGGGCGCGUAGGCGGUCCCAUAAGUCCCGCGUGAAAUCCCCCGGCUCAACUGGGGAGGGUCAUUCGAUACUGUUCGACUCGAAGGCAGGAGAGGGAAGUGGAAUUCCGGGUGUAGUGGUGAAAUGCGUAGAUAUCCGGAGGAACACCAGUGGCGAAGGCGACUUUCUGGCCUGUUCUUGACGCUGAGGCGCGAAAGCUAGGGGAGCAAACGGG
rnacentral:rRNA from 1 species